ensembl:lncRNA LINC00293 long intergenic non-protein coding RNA 293
UGGUACUGCACAGAACAGACAUUGUGACAUAUAUCUAGGCAAAUUGCCUAGAAGUGAAUCCCCUCUCCUGCUUAAGUCCUUCCCACAGAGAGCGGUUUGAUAUGUCACUGAAACCAGCAUCCAGGUGGUAUUGCUCCAUAUGCCUGAGACCCUAACAAAAGCCUAAUUACAACUCAUAUGCCUGGAGCCAGGACAUGUGCAGGAUGGUGAUGUAACUUUCCUCUCUGGAAUGGGUCCUGCACAAAGGAAUGAUAGUAACAUAUUGCAAAGCCAGACACACAGCCAUGAUGGUCCAAGUUAUAUUGGGAUUCAGCCAAUAGAAGAUAUUUUGCCUGUCAUCCCUAAGCUUAGGACAAUAGGGUCCUGCCCACAAGAAAGAUUGUGACAUCUCACUGGACAAGCACCCACCCAGACUCUGCCAAGAGAGGGGAUUAUUACAUAUUGCAGAGCCCAGCACCUAGGUGGAGUGACUCUCAUCUUUUUCUUCUACCCCGUAUAUAGCCAGCUUGGUGACCUACUAUUUGAGUCUAUACCCAGGCCCAGACCACAGAUGAAAUUGUGCAAUAUGUGGAACAAACACCUAAACAAUAUAUAACACCUUCCUUGGCUCUGUCUACAAAGGGCACUUUUAUAUAUCACUGGGACCAUCAACCAGGUGAUGUUAAUUAUCUUCCUGAAACCUGUCUACAAAGAGAGUUGUGUCGUAUACCUAGGCCCGUCAUGUAAGUGAUGUCAGUCCCUUCUACUGCCUUGGCCCUGCACUUACAGUGCAUUGUGACACAUAACAAGGUACUGCACACAGACGAUGUGAUUCUCCUUUUUGGGUUCUGCCAAAAGGAAGCAUUGUAAUAAAUCGCUUGGCUCAGUACCAAGGUGAUGUUUCUUUGCUUUUGCCUGGGCCCUGAUAACAGGGAGAUUGUGAUCUAUUGCUGGGCCCAACAAAAAUGUGAGGUCACUCUCCAGCCGUGGUACUUCACAUAAGCGCCAUUGUGACAUGUAUCUAGGCCAAUUGCCUAGGUGAAGUGAGUUUCCUCUCUUGCCAAAGUCCUGCCCACAGAGGGGGUUUUGAUAUGUCACUGAAAUCAGCAUUCAGGUGAUGUGACUCUUCUGCCAGGGUCCUGCGUACUAGGUGGAUUGUGACAUCUCACUGGACCCGCAACCAUGUAGGUCAUGUGACUUUCAUGCCUUCUCACUGGCCACAGGUGAUGUUGUGCCAUAUAACUGAGACCGUAUCAAAAGCCUAAUAACAAGACGUAUGUCUGGAGCCCCGAUAUGCACAGGAUGGUGAUAUAACCCUCUUCUCUGGAAUGGGCCCCACACAAAGGAAGGAUAGUGACAUAUUGCAAGCCCAGGCACACAGGCCCAGAGCACAGUUGAAAUUGUGACAUAUGUACACCAAGCAACCAAGCAAUGUAUAACACCUCAUUUGGCAAUGGAAUCGAGGGCACUUUUACAUAUCACUGAGACCAGCGCCCAGCUGAUGUGAAAUAUUGGCCUGAACCCUGCCUACAAAAGCAUUGUGGCUUUUAUCUAGCUCCAUUACAUAAGUGAUGUGACUUCCUUCUACUGCCUUGGCCCUGCACUUAUGGUGAAUCGUGACACAAAAUUGGGUAGAGCAACCAGCCUGGGCCCUGACCAGCACAGAGAUUGAGGCAUAUUGCUGAACCCAGGACCAAGAUGAAGUCACUCUCCUGCCUUGAUCCUGCACACAGGGACCCUUGUGACAUAUAUACAGGCCAAUUGCCUAGGUGAUGUUGUGCAAUAUACCUGAGACCAGAUCAAUGGCCUAAUAAUGACUCUUUUACCUAGAGCCAGGACAUGUGCAGGAUGGUAACUCUCAUCCCUGAACCUUUCCACAGGUGUUAUUGUCACAUAUACCUUUUCCAGCUCCAAAGUGAUUUAAUAAUCCAGCCUAGUUAUAGCCCACAGAUAAUAUUUGGACAUAUACCUGAGUCAAGAA